rnacentral:rRNA from 1 species
CCUACGGGUGGCAGCAGUGGGGAAUAUUGGGCAAUGGGCGCAAGCCUGACCCAGCAACGCCGCGUGAAGGCAGAAGGCUUUCGGGUUGUAAACUUCUUUUGACAGGGAAGAGCAGAAGACGGUACCUGUCGAAUAAGCCACGGCUAACUCCGUGCCAGCCGCCGCGGUAAUACGGAGGUGGCAAGCGUUGUGCGGAUUUAAUGGGUGUAAAGGGCGGGUAGCCGGGAUGACAAGUCAGAUGUGAAGUCCGGGGGCUCAACCCCCGAACUGCAUUUGAAACUGUUGGUCUUGAGUAUCGGAGAGGCAGGCGGAAUUCCUAGUGUAGCGGUAAAAUGCGUAGAUAUUAGGAGGAACACCAGUGGCGAAGGCGGCCUGCUGGACGACAACUGACGGUGAGGCGCGAAAGCGUGGGGAGCAAACAGGAUUAGAUACCCUUGUAGUC